ACAGCAGUAGCCGCGGUAAUGCGAAGGGUGCAAGCGUUAAUCGGAAUUACUGGGCGUAAAGCGUGCGUAGGCGGUGAGUUAAGUCUGCUGUGAAAUCCCCGGGCUCAACCUGGGAAUGGCAGUGGAUACUGGCUCGCUAGAGUGUGUCAGAGGAUGGUGGAAUUCCCGGUGUAGCGGUGAAAUGCGUAGAGAUCGGGAGGAACAUCAGUGGCGAAGGCGGCCAUCUGGGACAACACUGACGCUGAGGCACGAAAGCGUGGGGAGCAAACAGGAUUAGAUACCCCCGUAGUCCCUGUCUCUUAUAC
rnacentral:rRNA from 1 species